GGUGUGUUCUUUUCCGCAUUCCUCCUGAUGACCAAAUGUAAAUAUUUAUUCCCAGCAUAUUUUCCUUUCUUUCAGGCUACAGUUUUAUAACCUGUGGACUCCUCCAAGCCCAUGCUCAGCUGGGAUUAUCUGGGGAGUUGGGAUUCCCCUGAUUUUCUCGACCUCUUUCUCAAAACGCAUUGCGGGGCAGCAAAAAAAAAAAAAAAAAAGCCAGCUAUAUGGGCAGUGCUGUUUUAUAUACGGGUUGGACACGGCUAGAGGCCAAGGUCAAGUUGAAAGUUGCAGGCUAGCCAAUGUGAGAACUGUCAUUCAAGGCUUGAGGACCCGGUCUGAUUUGUUAGAAAGAAGCCAUGAAAACACUCA
rnacentral:lncRNA from 1 species